GUGCCCAAUUUGGAAGCACAUAUUCUAAAAUUGAAAAAAUACAAAAAAGAUUAGCAUGUCCCCUGCACAAGAAUGAUAU
rnacentral:snRNA from 1 species